ACUUUUUUUUUGUGCUUUUUUAUGUUUUUUUUUGUAAAAUAUUUUAAUUUUUUUGUGGUUUUAUUGUAAUAUUUAAAAUUUGAUUUUUGAACUGGAUUAGUACCCAGGUAAUCAAAGUUUAUUAAUUCGGGAGUAAAGUUUUGUUUAAACCGAAAAAAUAUUGACUGACUUUAGAUUUUUCUUUGGAAUAUGUGUUUUUGGAGAGCCCUCUUUUUUGGUAAAUUUUGUUGGCACAUGUAUGAUUGUUUAGUUUUUAUGUUUUUUGUGGUGCUUUUUUGUUUUUUGCAUUUAAAACAGAUAUAUAUUUGGCUUAUGAAUUUAUGUAACAUGUAUUACUAUUAUUAAUUUUUUUUGGAUUUAUUUUUUAUUUUAAUUUUGAAAUUGGAAAAGAAAGUAAUUUUUUCUU
rnacentral:rRNA from 1 species